rnacentral:rRNA from 1 species
GUAGGUGGCAAGCGUUGUCCGGAAUUAUUGGGGCGUAAAGCGCGCGCAGGCGGUUUUUUAAGUCUGAUGUGAAAGCCCACGGGCUCAACCGUGGAGGGUCAUUGGAAACUGGAGAACUUGAGUACAGAAGAGGAAAGCGGAAUUCCACGUGUAGCGGUGAAAUGCGUAGAGAUGUGGAGGAACACCAGUGGCGAAGGCGGCUUUCUGGUCUGUAACUGACGCUGAGGCGCGAAAGCGUGGGGAGCAAACAGGAUUAGAUACCCUGGUAGUCCACGCCGUAAACGAUGAGUGCUAAGUGUUAGGAGUUUCCGCCCCUUAGUGCUGCAGCUAACGCAUUAAGCACUCCGCCUGGGGAGUACGGCCGCAAAGGCUG